GUGAAGCUUGUACCCGAAGUAAAAUUUCUGGUUAGCUUCAACGAUAAAACUUAAACCAUGGUGGGAGGAGGAAGUAAAGAUGUGGGUGAAGGAAGCAAACGGAAGAAAACUAAAGAUGAUGUGGGUGAAGGAAGCAAACCGAAGAAACCUAAAGAUGAUGAGGGUGAAGGAUGCAAACCGAAGAAAACUAAAGAUGAUGCGUAUGCAUAUCUUACGGCUGUAAGGGAUCAUUUUCACAAUGAGAAAAAAAGUUUGACGACUUUGUUAAGAUCAUGAAUAAUUUUAAAACUCGGAGUAUUGAUAGGGAUGAUUGCAUAAAAAAGGUGGAGAAACUGCUUAGAGGACAACGAAACUUGAUUUCGGGUUUCAAUGCAUUUUUACCAGAGAGUUUGGAGAUCACUAAUUAUUACUCUGGGGCAGGAGAGGGUCGGUGAUGCUUUGGGAUUUUCUGCGUUCGUCUAAACCAAUAAAUUUGUUCUAAACCGAAUAAAUUAUA